rnacentral:rRNA from 1 species
UCGCACCAAUUGAUUGGAUGACUCGAUGAAAAAUUGGGAUCGGAAUGGCUUUUGCUUCAUUGCAGAGGCAGUUUUGAGAACUUUUUUAAAUCUCGUUAUCUAGAGAUUGGUG